rnacentral:rRNA from 1 species
UGGGGAAUUUUGCGCAAUGGGGGAAACCCUGACGCAGCAACGCCGCGUGGAGGAUGAAGUCCUUUGGGACGUAAACUCCUUUCGACCGGGACGAUUAUGACGGUACCGGUGGAAGAAGCCCCGGCUAACUCCGUG